rnacentral:lncRNA from 1 species
GCAAUUCAAAAAAUUCUAGUAGCUACAGGGCAGUUAUUCGAUCGUCGUGUAUUGUAAAUUCAUCAUGAAGAAACGGUAAAGUAAACACAAACUUUUAGAAGGCACUCUAAACUGGACAGUAUUACCUGUUAAUCAGAAACAAAACAAAAUAAAUUUCUAAAGGACGAACAAAAUGAACUUCUUCACUGACUUCACUCAACAUACAUAGACAAACAAAUCGGAAAAAUAUAUCACUUCACUUGCAUGACUUCACCCAACAUACAUAGACUAACAAGUCAAAAAAAUAUAGGGGACAAUGAGGUGCUUCACUUGCAUGACUUCACCAACAUACAUGGAAAAACUCUGAACCACAACCCUUAAAUAUGAUUCUUCUACUGCAUGUAGGGGCUUGACUCCACCCAACAUACAAAGAUAGAAGGUCAGCAUGUGCAUCAUUCAAGGCGGCCAAAUAUGGCAAAGGACAUGGAAUUUAUAUACACUGAAGAUGAACCUUC